UGUUGCCAAAGGACUUUCACAUUUGAGUCAGUGGACUGGGAGAGGCAGACACACCCUUAAUCUGGGUGGGCACCAUCUAAUCAGUUGCAAGUACGGCUGGAAUAAAGCAGGCAGAAGAAGGUGAAAGAACUUGACUGGCUGAGUCUUCCGGCCUCCAUCUUUCUCCGUGCUGGAUGCUUCCUGCCCUCGAACAUCAGACUCCAAGUUCUUCAGGUUUUGGACUCCUAGACUCACACCAGUGGUUUGCCAGGGGCUCUACACCAGUGGUUUGCCAGUCUAUGGCUGAAGGCUGCGCUGUUGGAUUCCCUACUUUUGAAGUUUUGGGACUUAGACUGGCUUCCUUGCUCCUCAGCUUGCAGACAGCCUACUGUGGAAUUUCACUUUGUGAUUGUACUGUGAAUUCCAGCAAAACUAGUUUGAAGACCCCACAGAAGAUGGGGAUCAGCCUGAGAACACAGGUUCUUCCUCUCCCUGACCCUGGCACUUCACCCUGCAUUCUUCCACCAAUCAACAAUCUCUAUACUUCAGCCCACUCCAAAACCCUUAAAAACCCCAGCCCCGAACUCCUUGGGGAGCUGGAUUUGAGGUUUUUUCCCAUUUCCUUGUUCAGUGACCCUACAAUUAAAUCUCUUUCUCUGUUGCAA